rnacentral:lncRNA from 1 species
GCUGUCCAAAUCCAGACACAUACCUGGCACCUUUUUCAUCUUUGAAGCUGCAUUCUAUAGUUUCUCUGUUUCUUGUAUAUGUUUUGAUGUUUGUAAUGAUUAGAUACUCUAUUAAGUAAAUAGGCUAAUGCUGGAAUUAUUAUUAGUUGACUGGGGGAAGAAUUGGUGACCGACUGUUGGCUGAAUCUGAGACCAACCUUGCUAUAAAUGUGCUUCCAGGCUUAUCAGAAACAUAUGAAGUGCAGGGAAGAGGAGAGCUACAGCUGGGUUUGUUCCUAUUUCUUGAAAUUGCAUGAUCCUUAGUUCCUUACCAUUAUAUAUAUGCAAAAGUGUGCUUAUGCAGUUCACUAUGGCAUGUGUGUUAACAGGUAUUUUAAUUGAAAAUAUGAGACGUGAGGGAUUUGAGUUAUCUGUCUCUCCACCUAAAGUCAUGUGAGUUUCUAAGGACUGAAGCUCUGAAUUUUUUUUGUCUUGUUUACAGUUUUGACGCAAUGUGAUUUUCUUGCUCAGCGAUAAAUAUGGGUUUGGCAUACUGUUCUAUGCUAAGUAAUGCUGUAAGCUGUAUGUGUUUUGAUAAAAAAAAACUUGAAUUUUUCAAAGGCAAUCACCCUUUAAAAGCUUAAGCUAUAUGCAUUUAGCUCCUCUAAAGUGAGGAGUGCAAUAGAGGAUAAAGUGCGGUUUCCACAGUUUGAGACUUUAUGACCUUAUGGUUUCUUAUACAUGUGCAUCAGUGCAUGUAUGCAUCACAAAGGUUGCCUUGGACUUUGUUUAAAGCAUAGUAGUCAAUUCCGGAUAGUGGCGUGUAGUGGCCGACCCCAAAAGUGGGAUAGCGGGAUGGCCGCUAUUCUGAUUUUUCAUAUAUACAUAUAAUUACUAAAAAAUGAUAAAUAUAACUUAAAAUUCAUAACAUGAUGAAAUGAUAGAGAAGAGAGGAGGAGGAUGCCCUGCUGGAAGAGGAGAGAACUGAAGGGUAACAAAAUGAAAUGAUUGAGAAUAGAAAAAUAAAGAGGAAAGGAAAGGAAAGAAAAAUAGAGGAAUAGAAAAAUAAAAAAAGCAGAGCAGAACAGAGGCCAAAGGGAAACAGGGGCAGUGGUCGCCGGAGAUAGGCUGAAAGCCACUGCACUGUUCGCUGGAAGUUGGACGGUACUGUCGGAGGUCGGGUUGUGGCCAUGGGUACUGAUCGACGGUGGCUGAAGGAGGUCGCACAUGUGUACUUGUACCUUCUUUGCUGCCUUCAAUUGCUUGUGUAAAAUUUUUUGUUUGAGGCUGUCCAAAUCCAGACACAUACCUGGCACCUUUUUCAUCUUUGAAGCUGCAUUCUAUAGUUUCUCUGUUUCUUGUAUAUGUUUUGAUGUUUGUAAUGAUUAGAUACUCUAUUAAGUAAAUAGGCUAAUGCUGGAAUUAUUAUUAGUUGACUGGGGGAAGAAUUGGUGACCGACUGUUGGCUGAAUCUGAGACCAACCUUGCUAUAAAUGUGCUUCCAGGCUUAUCAGAAACAUAUGAAGUGCAGGG